rnacentral:rRNA from 1 species
AACUUUUAACAACGGAUCUCUUGGCUCUCGCAUCGAUGAAGGACGCAGCGAAAUGCGAUAAGUAAUGUGAAUUGCAGAAUUCAGUGAAUCAUCGAAUCUUUGAACGCA